rnacentral:rRNA from 1 species
UGAGUAACGCGUGGGAACCGUACCCUGGGGUGGGGAAUAACCUUGGGAAACUUGAAGUAAUACCGUAUACGCCCGAGAGGGGGAAAGAUUUAUCGCUAUAGGAUGGGCCCGCGUCGGAUUAGCUAGUUGGUGAGGUAAUGGCUCACCAAGGCGACGAUCCGUAGCUGGUUUGAGAGAACGACCAGCCACACUGGGACUGAGACACGGCCCAGACUCCUACGGGAGGCAGCAGUGGGGAAUAUUGGACAAUGGGCGCAAGCCUGAUCCAGCCAUGCCGCGUGAGUGAUGAAGGCCUUAGGGUUGUAAAGCUCUUUUAGCAGGGAAGAUAAUGACUGUACCUGCAGAAUAAGCUCCGGCUAACUUCGUG